rnacentral:rRNA from 1 species
UACGUAGGGGGCAAGCGUUGUCCGGAUUUAUUGGGCGUAAAGAGCUCGUAGGCGGUUCCGUAAGUCGUGAAGUCAAAUCUCUGGGCUCAACCCAGAAUCGCUUCCGAUACUGCGGUGACUGGAGUCCGGUAGGGGAGUGUGGAAUUCCUGGUGUAGCGGUGAAAUGCGCAGAUAUCAGGAAGAACACCCGUGGCGAAGGCGGCUCUCUGGUACGUGACUGACGCUGAGACGCGAAAGCGUGGGGAGCGAACAGG